rnacentral:rRNA from 1 species
CCACAUUGGGACUGAGACACGGCCCAAACUCCUACGGGAGGCAGCAGUGGGGAAUAUUGCACAAUGGGGGAAACCCUGAUGCAGCGACGCCGCGUGAGUGAAGAAGUAUCUCGGUAUGUAAAGCUCUAUCAGCAGGGAAGAAAAUGACGGUACCUGACUAAGAAGCCCCGGCUAGCUACGUGCCAGCAGCCGCGGUAAUACGUAGGGGGCAAGCGUUAUCCGGAAUUACUGGGUGUAAAGGGUGCGUAGGUGGUAUGGCAAGUCAGAAGUGAAAACCCAGGGCUUAACUCUGGGACUGCUUUUGAAACUGUCAGACUGGAGUGCAGGAGAGGUAAGCGGAAUUCCUAGUGUAGCGGUGAAAUGCGUAGAUAUUAGGAGGAACAUCAGUGGCGAAGGCGGCUUACUGGACUGAAACUGACACUGAGGCACGAAAGCGUGGGGAGCAAACAGGAUUAGAUACCCUGGUAGUCCACGCCGUAA